UACAACUUUCAGCAACGGAUCUCUUGGCUCUCGCAUCGAUGAAGAACGCAGCGAAAUGCGAUAAGUAAUGUGAAUUGCAGAAUUCAGUGAAUCAUCGAAUCUUUGAACGCAU
rnacentral:rRNA from 1 species